UGUUAUUCACGAAUGAGCAGGCUGGUGGAUCAUAUCCAGGAUGUCCUGUAUGACCUCCUAUGCUGAUUCCCCAAACACAAUCCCUUCUUUAAACUGUGAUCAUCUUGAGAAACAGAAUGGCAGCACUAAAGGACGUGCCUCCUGUUACUACUGAGACGGAUGUUAAGAAACGUACAGUAUUUCCUCAGAUAAAUCGGAUUCCCACUGGCAAAUAAUUCCAGCUGUGAUCAGUGCAUGCAAAAAGGGAAUACUUGCAGACCAGCAGGAUGUGGACCUGGAAGGAUGG